rnacentral:rRNA from 1 species
UACGUAGGGCGCAAGCGUUAUCCGGAAUUAUUGGGCGUAAAGAGCGUGUAGGCGGUUCGAUUAGUCCGCUGUAAAAGUCGGAGGCUCAACCUCCGAAAGCCGGUGGAUACUGUUGGACUAGAGUACGGAAGAGGCGAGUGGAAUUCCUGGUGUAGCGGUGAAAUGCGCAGAUAUCAGGAGGAACACCUAUGGCGAAGGCAGCUCGCUGGGACGUAACUGACGCUGAGACGCGAAAGCGUGGGGAGCAAACAGG